GAGCAUCGUUCAAUUUUUUUUAUAAGUUAAUUUAGUAAAACUUAAUAAACUCCCUAAAUUAGUGGAAUAACCAUUAUAAAAUCACUAUUCUCUAAAGAAAAGGAGACAACAAAGGUUCCAAACAUUGUUGACAAUCAUCAUAUAUUAGUACAUGAGACAACUAUGCAUUAAAGCAAUAUUGUUAUAUUUUUUAAUUUUUUUUCAAAUCUAUGUGUUAAACGCUCUAUAUACUGAAGCCU
rnacentral:lncRNA from 1 species